UAUGGACAUGAGGAAUCAUGGAGUAAAGCUUGUCAUAAGAAGUCAGCAGAAGCCAUAGUAGUGACCAUAGGGUCACGAAGGGC
rnacentral:ncRNA from 1 species